rnacentral:rRNA from 2 species
CCUCCUUUAGAGUUUGGAUCCUGGCUCAGAUUGAACGCUGGCGGCAGGCCUAACACAUGCAAGUCGAGCGGUAACAUUUCUAGCUUGCUAGAAGAUGACGAGCGGCGGACGGGUGAGUAAUGCUUGGGAAUAUGCCUUAGGGUGGGGGACAACAGUUGGAAACGACUGCUAAUACCGCAUAACGUCUACGGACCAAAGGGGGCUUCGGCUCUCGCCCUUAGAUUAGCCCAAGUGGGAUUAGCUAGUUGGUGAGGUAAUGGCUCACCAAGGCGACGAUCCCUAGCUGGUUUGAGAGGAUGAUCAGCCACACUGGAACUGAGACACGGUCCAGACUCCUACGGGAGGCAGCAGUGGGGAAUAUUGCACAAUGGGCGCAAGCCUGAUGCAGCCAUGCCGCGUGUGUGAAGAAGGCCUUAGGGUUGUAAAGCACUUUCAGUAAGGAGGAAAGGUUAGUAGUUAAUACCUGCUAGCUGUGACGUAC